rnacentral:rRNA from 1 species
UACCAGCACCCCGAGUGGUCGGGACGAUUAUUGGGCCUAAGGCAUCCGUAGCCGGUUUUACAAGUCCCCCGUUAAAUCCAGCUGCUUAACAGAUGGGCUGCGGAGGAUACUAUAAGACUAGGAGGCAGGAGAGGCAAGCGGUACUCAGUGGGUAGGGGUAAAAUCCGUUGAUCCAUUGAAGACCACCAGUGGCGAAGGCGGCUUGCCAGAAUGCGCUCGACGGUGAGGGAUGAAAGCUGGGGGAGCAAACCGG